CACGGAAUGUUUAUCUGCUUACAGAAACACAAACAUGUUCUUCUGUUCAAGAUUCGUCUGCACAUCUUCUAGAGACCCCUAAAACAAAGCCUGUUUGAACUGCCUCAAACCGCUUCUUAUCGGUACAGAAAAGUGUGUCAUGCUCUGCGUUUCAUAUAUAUAGUAGUGGUUCAGCACAAGCACCUCAGAGCGCUCUCAUUAUUCUCUCCUGCUUUAUUCUAUCCUGUAUUAACCAUCUUUCUGUAAUAAACCUUUUUACCUUCAGAGGACGAGUCUGCGAGUGUUGUCUAAUUUCCAUGACAACGCCAAACCUGAUUAUUUGUUCCAUGUUAUCCUGUGUUUUCAUUCUCACUACUUAAUCAUUUAAAUAGCACACAGAGAUCAUCAAUCCAUAAAGGAAAUCAUGAAGACACAGAGGGAAAGACAAAAUAUUUGAAUAUAAAAUAUUUAAAUAUGGAGAAUUGUGGAGGCCAUGUGGUCAGAUCAGUAAUUCCCUUUACACUGGCUACUUUCUCUGGAGGCUCUAAAGCGUCGGUAUUAGGGGGCCAAGCACCGACUGAACAUGUGCCAUUCUCCACCAUUAUGUGAAAAUUAGUUCUUUGUCUCACUGUUUGCCCUAAGACCCUCCAAAACCCGAUCACAUAUGGCUUCUUCUUUAUUUAGGUCAUGUGAUCAGAAACUGGGGGAAAAAUAAACUACGGUCGAAUUAUUUAACUUACGGAUCAGAACAAAAGCCACGAGAACAAACUCCACUGCAGUGAUCCGACUUAAAAAAA
ensembl:lncRNA